rnacentral:rRNA from 1 species
UACAGAGGGGGCAAGCGUUGUUCGGAAUUACUGGGCGUAAAGGGCGCGUAGGCGGCUUGGUCAGUCCCGUGUGAAAUCCCUCGGCUCAACUGAGGAACUGCACGGGAAACUGCCUGGCUUGAGUUCGGGAGAGGGAAGCGGAAUUCCAGGUGUAGCGGUGAAAUGCGUAGAUAUCUGGAGGAACACCGGUGGCGAAGGCGGCGUUCUGGACUGCAACUGACACUGAGGAACGAAAGCCAGGGGAGCAAACGGG